GUGAAAUUGUUGAAAGGGAAGCGCUUGCAACCAGACUUGCACGCAGUUGAUCAUCCGGUGUUCUCACCGGGGCACUCUGCUGCGUUCAGGCCAGCAUCGGUUUUGGUGGUUGGAUAAAGGCCUUGGGAAUGUGGCUUCCUUCGGGGAGUGUUAUAGCCCUCGGUGCAAUGCAGCCUACCGGGACCGAGGACCGCGCUUCGGCUAGGAUGCUGGCGUAAUGGUUGUAAGCGACCCGUCUUGAAACACGGACCAAGGAGUCUAACAUCUAUGCGAGUGUUUGGGUGUUAAACCCAUACGCGUAAUGAAAGUGAACGGAGGUGAGAACCCUUAAGGGUGCAUCAUCGACCGGUCCUGAUGUCUUCGGAUGGAUCUGAGUAAGAGCAUAGCUGUUGGGACCCGAAAGAUGGUGAACUAUGCGUGAAUAGGGUGAAGCCAGAGGAAACUCUGGUGGAGGCUCGCAGCGGUUCUGACGUGCAAAUCGAUCGUCAAAUUUGCGCAUAGGGGCGAAAGACUUAUCGAACCAUUAGAAUAACUACUAGGUGGUUAAG
rnacentral:rRNA from 1 species